rnacentral:rRNA from 1 species
AGCGAACGCUGGCGGCAGGCUUAACACAUGCAAGUCGAGCGCCCCGCAAGGGGAGCGGCAGACGGGUGAGUAACACGUGGGAACGUGCCUUUUGGUUCGGAACAACCCAGGGAAACUUGGGCUAAUACCGGAUAAGCCCUUACGGGGAGAGAUUUAUCGCCAAAAGAUCGGCCCGCGUCUGAUUAGCUAGUUGGUGGGGUAAUGGCCCACCAAGGCUACGAUCAGUAGCUGGUCUGAGAGGAUGAUCAGCCACAUUGGGACUGAGACACGGCCCAAACUCCUACGGGAGGCAGCAGUGGGGAGUAUUGGACAAUGGGGGCAACCCUGAUCCAGCCAUGCCGCGUGAGUGAUGAAGGCCUUAGGGUUGUAAAGCUCUUUUAGCAGGGAAGAUAAUGACGGUACCUGCAGAAAAAGCCCCGGCUAACUUCGUGCCAGCCGCCGCAGUAA